rnacentral:rRNA from 1 species
UACGUAGGGUGCAAGCGUUAAUCGGAAUUACUGGGCGUAAAGCGUGCGCAGGCGGUUUUGUAAGUCAGAUGUGAAAGCCCCGGGCUCAACCUGGGAAUUGCAUUCGAGACUGUGUAGCUAGGGUGCGGAAGAGGGAAGCGGAAUUUCCGGUGUAGCGGUGAAAUGCGUAGAUAUCGGAAGGAACACCAGUGGCGAAAGCGGCUUCCUGGUCCAGCACCGACGUCAGGCACGAAAGCGUGGGGAGCAAACAGG